rnacentral:rRNA from 1 species
CUACGGGCGGCUGCAGUGAGGAAUAUUGCGCAAUGGGGGAAACCCUGACGCAGCGACGCCGCGUGGAUGAUGAAGGCCUUCGGGUCGUAAAAUCCUGUCAGAAGGAAAGAAGUGUAUGGUAGCUAAUAUCUGCCAUACUUGACGGUACCUUCAAAGGAAGCACCGGCUAACUCCGUGCCAGCAGCCGCGGUAAUACGGAGGGUGCAAGCGUUGGUCGGAAUUACUGGGCGUAAAGCGCGCGUAGGCGGUUUUAUAAGUCAGAUGUGAAAGUCCACGGCUCAACCAUGGAAGUGCAUUUGGAACUGUAAGACUUGAGUAUUGGAGGGGGUAGUGGAAUUCCCGGUGUAGAGGAGAAAUUCGUAGAUAUCGGGAGGAAUACCGGUGGCGAAGGCGACUAUCUGGCCAAAUACUGACGCUGAGGUGCGAAAGCGUGGGGAGCAAACAGGAUUAGAUACCCCCGUAGUC